GAAUCAAGCAAGACGGGGUCUAACGAGUGAUUAGUAAUCCAUGUGGCAUAGAUUCGUGACCUUCAUUGCAAUUUGAAGGGGCACUGGUCUACCAUCUGCCAAAGUGGUAGAGUGGAUCUCAUAAUUUGUGAUAGGGGGAUUUGGAUUCGCGCGGCCCCUAA